rnacentral:rRNA from 1 species
CUCGCCCGGGAACUACAAGCAAAAGCUUAAAACCCAAAGGACUUGGCGGUGCUUCAGACCCCCCUAGAGGAGCCUGUUCUAGAACCGAUAACCCCCGUUCAACCUCACCCUCCCUUGUUUACCCCGCCUAUAUACCGCCGUCGUCAGCUUACCCUGUGAAGGCCACUAUAGUAAGCAAAACUAGUAUAACUCAAAACGUCAGGUCGAGGUGUAGCGCAUGAGAGGGGAAGAAAUGGGCUACAUUUACUGAUACAGUACAAACGAAUGAUGUACUGAAAUAAGCAUCCGAAGGAGGAUUUAGCAGUAAGAGGAAAAACAGAGCGUUCCCCUGAAACCGGCCCUGAAGCGUGCACACACCGCCCGUCACUCUCCCCAAAGCAUAAACAUAAACAUAAAUAAAACAUAUUAACUACAAGGGGAGGCAAGUCGUAACAUGGUAAGUGUACCGGAAGGUGCACUUGGAAAAAC